ACCUCCCAGCAGUGAAUUUGACUUACGAAGGCCUUUGGACACAAGAAGAAAAGUAACUGCACUGGAUCCCAAAGACAGGGGUGGACCUCUUUUUUAAUGUCCUGUGUCCUUUGUCUUAAGAUUUGGUGUAAUAUAU
rnacentral:snoRNA from 1 species